rnacentral:rRNA from 1 species
CCUACGGGAGGCAGCAGUAGGGAAUAUUGCUCAAUGGGGGAAACCCUGAAGCAGCAACGCCGCGUGGAGGAUGAAGGUUUUCGGAUUGUAAACUCCUUUUGUUAGAGAAGAUAAUGACGGUAUCUAACGAAUAAGCACCGGCUAACUCCGUGCCAGCAGCCGCGGUAAUACGGAGGGUGCAAGCGUUACUCGGAAUCACUGGGCGUAAAGAGCGCGUAGGCGGGAUAGCAAGUCAGAUGUGAAAUCCUAUGGCUUAACCAUAGAACUGCAUUUGAAACUGUUAUUCUAGAGUAUGGGAGAGGUAGGUGGAAUUCUUGGUGUAGGGGUAAAAUCCGUAGAGAUCAAGAGGAAUACUCAUUGCGAAGGCGACCUGCUAGAACAUAACUGACGCUGAGGCGCGAAGGCGAGGGGAGCGAACGGGAUUAGAUACCCGAGUAGUC